AAUGAACGUUGGCGGCGUGGAUUAGGCAUGCAAGUCGAGCGAGAACCCCGCAAGGGGGGACAGCGGCGAAAGGGACAGUACUGUGUAGAUUAUCUGCCCUCAGGUCCGGGAUAGCUGCGGGAAACUGCAGGUAAUACCGGAUAACAUCUCCGGAUCAAAGGUGUGAUUCCGCCUGAGGAUGAGUCUGCAUCCUAUUAGCUAGUUGGUGGGGUAAUGGCCUACCAAGGCAUUGAUGGGUAGCAGGUGUGAGAGCACGACCUGCGUCAUUGGGACUGAGACACUGCCCAGACACCUACGGGUGGCUGCAGUCGAGAAUCUUCGGCAAUGGGCGCAAGCCUGACCGAGCGACGCCGCGUGUGGGAUGAAGGCCUUCGGGUUGUAAACCACUGUCAGAGGGGAUGAAAUGCAGGUGGGUUCUCCCAUCUGUUUGACAUAGCCUCAGGGGAAGGACGGGCUAAGUUCGUG
rnacentral:rRNA from 1 species